UCCUACGGGGGGCAGCAGUGAGGAAUAUUGGUCAAUGGGCGAGAGCCUGAACCAGCCAAGUCGCGUGAGGGAAGACGGCCCUACGGGUUGUAAACCUCUUUUGUCAGGGAGCAAGAACGGAUACGUGUAUCCGAGCGAGAGUACCUGAGGAAAAAGCAUCGGCUAACUCCGUGCCAGCAGCCGCGGUAAUACGGAGGAUGCGAGCGUUAUCCGGAUUUAUGGGGUUUAAAGGGUGCGUAGGCGGACUGCCGAGUCAGCGGUAAAGUUGCGGGGCUCAACCCCGCCGAGCCGUGGAAACCGGCGGG
rnacentral:rRNA from 1 species